UACAGAGGGUGCGAGCGUUGUUCGGAAUUACUGGGCGUAAAGCGCGCGCAGGCGGCCUUUUAAGUCUACCCGUGAAAUGCCGGAGCUCAACUCCGUGCACGCCGGGGGAUACUGGGAGGCUGGAGACAGGUAGAGGCAAGCGGAAUUCCGGGUGUAGCGGUGGAAUGCGUAGAGAUCCGGAAGAACACCGGUGGCGAAGGCGACUACCUGGCCUGUUCUUGACGCUGAGGCGCGAAAGCUAGGGGAGCAAACGGG
rnacentral:rRNA from 1 species